rnacentral:rRNA from 1 species
UACGGAGGGUGCAAACGUUGCUCGGAAUUAUUGGGCGUAAAGCGCACGUAGGCGGUUCGUUAUGUCGGAUGUGAAAGCCCCGGGCUUAACCCGGGAAGGGCAUCCGAAACUGGCGGGCUUGAGUACGGAAGAGGGUCUCGGAAUUCCCGGUGUAGAGGUGAAAUUCGUAGAUAUCGGGAGGAACACCAGUGGCGAAGGCGGAGACCUGGGCCGAUACUGACGCUGAGGUGCGAAAGCGUGGGGAGCAAACAGGG